GGAGAGGUGCUAGAGUGGUCGAAUAGGCGCGCUUGGAAAGCGCGUGAACUGGCAACAGUUCCAUGGGUUCGAAUCCCAUCCUCUCCG
rnacentral:tRNA from 3 species